rfam:Triticum aestivum genome assembly, contig: Triticum_aestivum_CS42_TGACv1_scaffold_031850_1BL
UUUGUAUUCCCUUCGUCCGGAAAUACUUGUCAUUAAAAUGAAUAAAAUGAAGUGUAUUUAGAUGUAUUUUAGUUUUAGAUACAUUCUUUUUUGUUCAUUUUGAUGACAAGUAUUUGCGGACGGAGGGAGUAGUCC